AUGUUCUUCAGCAACAAGAAUCAGCAGCAGGCUGAAACGCCUGCCUUCCACGAUGGUACUGGGGAAAGUGAUCCGACGGAGAGAUGGAGCCCGCGCUCCACCGAGACAUCGACCAACCGCUUCGACAUCGAGCAUCAUUUUACCUUCGCCUGCAAGUGACUAGUACUUACUACUACGGCCAUCAGGGCAGGUACAACGGGGCGUCGACUCCCGUCGACAUGCAGCUCCUUUUUGCAAAAAACCCCCCGACGGAGAGGAGAGACGGCACGGCCGUCGGCUCGUUCGUCGACGGCACUCGCGCGUGGUCCGAGGCGAGACGACGAGUUGCCGAGGCGUUGUAGGAGUUGCUGCAGUUCGGCGACGGGGGCAUGGAUCCGCUGUGCGCGCGCUCGUGGGAAUUCGUUUUGCCGCCAAAAAUCAGGCGGCGCGAGAUUUGCUCAAGGCGGAUGCAACUCGGGAGCGGCAGGCUGCGGCGGCGUACUCGCGGAAGGCCCAGGGGGCAUCUGCAUCGACGGACUCACGGCGCCAUCAGGGGGAUCUACGGCGGUGGCCAAGAAGCAGACGAGCUCAAGCAGAGUGGCGGAGCAAAGGAUUUCGGCGCCGCCGCGGACUGCAGGUGGAUGAGGCUCGGAUGCGCAAGGCAGCUGCGGCGCAAUCGCGGAAGGAUGCGGCAGCGCCGAUGCGGAAGGCACAGGGAAGAGCUCGAAUGGAUGAUGUCUGAUUCUCCCCACCAGUGCGGAAGGUGCCCUGUGUCCUUUUGCCGUCUGAUUUCAUUUGAAUUUGAUUGAUUUCUCGUGGUGGUGCCAAUGAUUUAUGCAGAUAGUACAUGAAUUUUGGCUGUGGAUUUUUGCAAUCAUGGAGUUGCAGGAUAGCUUUCCUAUUUCCCAUUUGAUUUCGUGAAGCAGCACACUAGGGUGUGGAAAUCCAAGCCUGUGUCGAUAAACUAGAAGAAAUUGAUCCAACGGAGGUAUAUACAUUUGAUGACUUUAUUGCCAAGGAUGAAAAACUAGAAGCCUUGAUUGGCGACAAAUUGAAGGCCAAUAUUAUACAUGCUUGUUGUAAGAGUCAUGCGAAUUAUUUGAAUGUAUUGUGCAUUUUCUCAUGUAUGUAACAAAAUAGCUACAAAGAUCAAGUAUGCACUAGAUCACAUGAGUUUGUGUGUUAAAGGAAGAAUUAAUCAUUCUGCAGCCAGCUAAAUAGACAGCUCGUUGUACAAGCUGUCUGUUCAACUGUUUGUUUGUGACAAAAAGACAGCAGCUGUCUGUACUGUUGUAUA